rnacentral:lncRNA from 1 species
UGAGGUGAGGGUGGAGGAUCCAGCACUUGUCCUUUCCAUGGCCUCUCUUCUUGCAAUGAUCGCAUGUCCACACCUUCUUGUCUUCAGCCUUGUAGGUGCCUUUAUUUGCAACUCCUUCAGCUUGGUUUGCUAGUACCAAGUCUCGCUUGCCUCCAAAGAGCCCCACUGAUCCUUGUUCUUUCUGAAUCCGAGCAUAAACUUCUUCAAGAGAUGGGAGUUCCUUGUCUCUUAGGAUGUGCUUGAUGAGGUCAUUGUAUCCAGGGUUGAGAGUAGAGAGAAGAGCAAACACCUUGUCUUGUUCUCUCCUUUCAUUCAACACAUCUGGAUCAAUGGUUGCUGGCCUUAGCAUCUCUAGCUCAGACCACAGGGAUCUAAACUUCCCAAAGUGUUUAUCAAAGUCAUUGUCCUCUUGACUUAGAGUAUUGAU